rnacentral:lncRNA from 1 species
AUGUCACCACGGAGGACCUCUGCAGCGGGGCCGCCACCCUCGAUGGCUUCCGGGGGCUGGUCUUCGUGGGGGGGUUCAGCUACGCCGACGUCUUGGGGUCGGCCAAAGGUGAGACCCCAAAAGGGGUUGGGGGGCAAUGGGGGGUGGCGGCCAUUUUGGGGAUUUCCCAUCGGGUUCCUGUUGGGUGCCAUUUUGGAUCCCAUUGGGGGUCCCUUAUUGGUUCCCAUUGGGUUCCCAUUGGGCGCCAUUUUGGAUCCCAUUGGGAGUCCCUUCUUGGUUCCCGUUGGCUUGCCAUUGGCUGCCAUAUUGUUUCCCAUUGGGUUCCCAUUGGGCGCCAUUUUGGAUCCCAUGGGGUUCCCUUAUUGGUUCCCAUUGGGUUUCCAUUGGGCGCCAUUUUGGAUCCCAUCGGGGUUCCCUUAUUGGUUCCCAUUGGGUUCCCAUUGGGCGCCAUAUUGCUUCCCAUUGGGGUUUCCUUCUUGGUUCCCAUUGGCUUGCCAUUGGCUGCCAUAUUGGUUCCCAUUGGGUUCCCAUUGGGUUCCCAUUGGACACCAUAUUGGCUCCCAUUGGGUUCCCUUUGGGCGCCAUAUUGGUUUUCAUUGGCUUCCCAUUGGGCGCCAUUUUGGAUCCCAUUGGGGUUCCCUUAUUGGUUCCCAUUGGGUUCCCAUUGGGCGCCAUUUUGGAUCCCAUUGGGAGUCCCUUCUUGGUUCCCAUUGGCUUGCCAUUGACUGCCAUAUUGUUUCCCAUUGGGUUCCCAUUGGGCGCCAUUUUGGAUCCCAUUGGGGUUCCCUUAUUGGUUCCCAUUGGGAUCCCAUUGGGCGCCAUUUUGGAUCCCAUUGGCGUUCCCUUAUUGGUUCCCAUUGGGUUCCCCUUGGGCGCCAUUUUGGAUCCCAUUGGGGGUCCCUUCUUGGUUCCCAUUGGGUUCCCAUUGGGCGCCAUAUUGCUUCCCAUUGGGGGUCCCUUCUUGGUUCCCAUUGGCUUGCUGGUGGCUGCCAUAUUGGUUCCCAUUGGGCACCAUAUUGGUUCCCUUUUUGGUUCCCAUUGGACGCCAUAUUGGUUCCCAUUGGGCGCCAUUUUGGAUCCCAUCAGGGUUCCCUUAUUGGUUCCCAUUGGGUUCCCAUUGGGCGCCAUAUUGGUUCCCAUUGGACACCAGAUUGUUUCCCAUUACAUUCCCAUUGGGUUCCCAUUGGCUGCCAUUUUGGAUCCCAUUGGGUUCCCAUUGGGCGCCAUAUUGGUUCUCAUUGGACGCCAUAUUGUUUCCCAUUUUGGUCCCCAUUGGUAUUCCCAUUGGAUGCCAUUUUGAAUCCAUUAAAUUCCCAUUGGGUUCCCAUUGGGCGCCAUUUUGGAUGCCAUAUUGGUUCCCUUAUUGGUUCCCGUUGA